GUUUUUGUUGAACUACAGAGAAAGAUUGCAAGGAAUUGAAGGUGUUGAUAUGGCUGAUGUUAUUGCUCGAUCUCACGGGGGUGAUGGUGGAGGAUGCGAUCCUCCACGUGGACCGUCAGAUAUCCCAGCUGAUUGUGAAUGAGCGCCUCCAAACAAACGUGGACGCCACAAAGGAUUGAACACGCGGUAAAAAAGGGAACAGUUGGGGCGUCAUCUCCCUCUUGAGUGGGAUGUGCGAGGGAGAACAUAUAAAGAG